UCCCCUAGUAACUGCGAGUGAAGCGGGAAGAGCUCAAAUUUAAAAUCUGGCGGUCUCAGGCCGUCCGAGUUGUAGUCUGGAGAAGUGCUUUCCGCGCUGGACCGUGUACAAGUCUCUUGGAACAGAGCGUCAUAGAGGGUGAGAAUCCCGUCUUUGACACGGACUACCAGUGCUUUGUGAUGCGCUCUCGAAGAGUCGAGUUGUUUGGGAAUGCAGCUCAAAAUGGGUGGU
rnacentral:rRNA from 1 species